CCGCCAAUUAGAGAAGCGUGUUACUUGCGGUUGGUUGAGGAGACCUACCCCGCGCGCCGCGGGAGGAAAGGAGAGGCUGGUGGCGGGAAGUUUUCAUUGGCGAGCGGCUGGAAAGUCUUUGAGGAAUUGGAUUCUAUAACCAAUGAGCUACAUGCAGUAGACCUUCAAAUUCAGGAACUUCUGGAAAAGCAACAAGAGCUCAUUCAGAAAAAGAACAUCCUAACAAACCGAAUAAAGCAGCAUUUACAGGCUUCUGAUGCUGGGAAAAGCAGUGAAUGGGAUUCUUCACCUGCUGCUUGGAAUAAAGGAGCAUGUGAAAUGGGUUCAUGCUGAAAUGGUAAAUAAAAACUCCAAGCUAAAGCUAAUUUAUGUGACCCCAGAGAAAAUCGCAAAAAGCAAAAUGUUCAUGUCGAGACUAGAGAAAGCCUAUGAAGCCAGGAGAUUUACCCGGAUUGCUGUGGAUGAAGUUCAUUGCUGUAGCCACUGGGGACAUGAUUUCAGACCCGAUUACAAGGCACUUGGUAUCUUGAAGCGGCAGUUCCCUAACACCGCACUAGUAGGGCUGACUGCAACUGCGACAAGCCAUGUUCUGAAGGAUGCCCAGAAAAUACUGUGUGUGGACAAGUGUUUUACUUUCACGGCUUCUUUUAAUCGGCCGAAUCUUUAUUAUGAGGAAUAUAUUGCUUUUCUUAGACUCCAAGCAAGUUACAGUUAGUUUACAGAAGCUGGGAAUUCACGCAGGAGCGUACCAUGCCAAUAUGGAACCAGAAGAUAAGACCAAUGUUCAUCGAAGAUGGUCAGCCAGUGAAAUUCAGGUCGAGAUGACAUGAAAGCGGACUGUAUUUUGUAUUAUGGCUUUGGAGAUAUAUUCAGAAUAAGUUCAGUGAUGAUGAUGGAAAAUAUGGGACAACAGAAGCUUUUAUGAGAUGGUAUCAUACUGUCAAAACAUAAGCAAGUGUCGCCGUGUAUUGAUAGCUCAGCAUUUUGAUGAAGUGUGGAAUUCAGAAGCAUGCAACAGAAUGUGUGAUAAUUGUUGUGAAGACGUUGAGAAAGAGCACACAAGCAGGGCGAGCAGCAGAGGGAGAGGAAGAAGCAGACUCUCCGCUGAGCAGGGAGUCUGACGCGGGGCUCGAUCCCAGGACCCUGAGCCGAAGGCAGACGCUUAACUGGCUGAGCCACCCAGCAGGUGAAAGAAUAUAACAGCACACUGCAGAGAUCUAAUCAAGAUCCUGAAGGAGGCAAAGGAUCUGAAUGAAAAGCUUACUCCACUGAAACUGAUUGAGAGUGAGACUUCAUAUUUGAAAAUAGGAUCUAAAGCUAAUCUGAAUAGUGAUGCACAUCUUAUCACCUUGCAAGUAAAGAAGCCCAUGCAGAGCUGUUUCAGGAUUCAUUUUGAAGGAGCUGAUAAAAAGAGGGAAGAAAAAAAUCCAGGUAACUUUCAGAAGUCUGCAAACAUGCUUUAGCAAUCUAAGAAUAAAUUGAUGAUGCAUGAGAUAGGUGUUUAUUUUCCAAGAAAACAGUUUAAGACAAUUUUAUUAAUAUUUUAUACAUAUGGAACUUAUCUCUGAAGUACUGGACUUAAUUCUCAUUUCAUACUAUCAGUUAUUUGAACUUGAGUAUUUCACAUCAAAAAUUAUCUUAAACUCUUAUGCCUUGAUAUGUUUAUUUUCUUUUCAUAUAACCAACAUUUGAUAGCGAAGUUAUCAUAUGGAAUAUUUUACAAAGGCUUAUUACAGACAGGGAGUUAUUUCAGCUCAUAACACCUGUAGAAUCCAAACAUAAACACAAUAAGGUAUUAAUAUAAAUCUGAAACCAUAACCGUCUCUGAGAUUUCACAAUCAGAAUGACUCUGGCAUGCCAGACCAAGUUGUUGGCUAAGUAGAUAACAACUUAGCUAAAUCAGAAAUGAGUAACUUAAAUCCUUACAUUUACAUAAGUGGUCAGUUUUGUGUUGUAAAGUUCAAAUAAUUUACAUAUAUUUUCCCACUGAAAUCAUUAUCACUUCUGUAUUCUUCAUUUAAUCAGUGCAUUUACCUUAUUGUGACUUUGUGUUAUUUGGAACUUUCUGUAGUUCUUGAAAUGCCUUUUUUUAGUCAAAAUAAUCUUCUAAAUCAAUAUUUGGAUCUAGCAGAUCUUCUCCAUAUGAUGAAAGAUCGGUCUGAUUUAAAA